CCGUAGAAGUUGUUUUUUUGCUGUUCUUCGAUUCUUAGCUGUUCUUCCGUUCUGUAACGGCGAGCGUUUCUGUUUCUCAUUUCUUUAAUCACAUCACUAACCCCAGUUCCACUACUCUCCUCACUCUCUGUAAAUUAAACACCAUAAUUAUCAUGAAAUCUGAUGAAGGAGGAUGUGACAACAGAUAGCAGAGGCAAUUGCUUUUUGAGUGGAUUGUUAUCCUCUGAGAUAUGGAGCAAGUAUUCGUCGGGUCAAGGGUUUACUAUUAUGGGCUUUACUCAUUCCAAGAAGCGCUUCCAUGGCCGUUUAUUAAUGUUUGUUUGCUCUUACUCGAGACUGUGAGAUGCAGUGGAUUACGAGGUAUUUGGGAGUCAGUACUGUGACUUCGACAAAGGCACUCUCCGCGGCGAUAUUAAUAUCUCAGUCCGUCCUAUUACACAAGCGAAGUUUGGCAGCAAGGUCAACAAGUUUCUAUCCUUCUUUGUCGUUUAUAUAUUCUGAGCUAACCAAUAAAGUAGUAUGUUCAACUCAUUCUGUUUUCAUUCUACUGUAUUUGGAUGAUUAUUCGUGUUUCUGUUGGUUCACAGGUGGAAAUGAAGAAUUUGAAUGAGUUUUCACCAAUUAACAGGGCCAAGCCAACCAGCUUAUGGGGAGAAGUAACUCAGACAGGAACAAUAAUGAAUACAUGAAUAUUGACGGAGAGGUGAGAAAGCUGACUAAUGCCCUGCAGAAGAUGUUGCACAACUUCUGGAGGAGUGAAGACCCGGACCGUAGACCCCUGCCACAGUGCAUACAUGACUUAGUUGGGAGCACUUCUACUUAUUGAAGCUUUCCCAUUCAACUGCUCCUCCAAGCAUCAGCCGUUCACCAUAUCUCGAAUCUUUGACCGCGACCAGUGUUCACCACUGCCAAACUUUGCUGUAAAUGGAGCGAUAACAACCCCGGAGAUGAUAUCCCUGGAACAGUAAGCAGUAGCAGUUACAACUAACCUUUACUGGUGAGUGUGUGACUAGGGGAGCCCUGCUACAAAUGCUUGUGGGGUUAUGGAGGGAGCUUCUGCUGCUGCAGGUGUUUCGCAUGAUGAACCUGUACAUGGUGGAAUAACUGCUGAUGGUCCACCACACCGGAGGCUGAUCCAGCAAAGCUGAAGUUCCCAGCAUCGUGUGUCGCCAACUCAAGCGUCCACCACUGCUGCUCCUUAGGUUUUUGUCUUCAUUUGAGUUAAAAUAAAUUGUUUAAGAUCACGCUACUUAUUUCAAUGCUUUUUGUUGUUGGGUUUUUUUUUUUUUACUUUUUCUUAGCGUUGUCAUCACGAAAACUUUGUAUCAGCAGUGGUUUAAAAAAAAAUAUUUAUUGCUCUUCGACAAACUACAUUCCUGUUUGUUUAAAAAUAAGCUAUAUUCCUGUUGCUAUUUGAGAGCUGGUCCUACCGCUUAAAUAAACAUAGUAGGUAGCUCCUCCUGAUUUUGCAUCCAUAUUUUACAGAAGUUGAUUUAGCAAACAAACUAUAUUGAUUGCCUCCAUGAGUUCUGGGUGAUUUAAACUGAGUUCUUCCGUACACAUUUAGACACUGGCAUAAUGCAGCGCUAUGGAUAAAAUCAUUUAACGUUCAAGGGUGUUGUCCUUACAGAACGUCACCGGCAAAUACUGUAUCAGCAGCAGCAUUGGUGAUUAGGAGGUUACGACCACUGACUCCCAUGCUCUAUAAAACUGAGCUUUGUUAGUUGCGUUUCCUGUUUUCCCACUGUAGGAACGUACAUCUGCAUUAGCAAGUUUGUGAAGGAUAAGAAGAUGAUGGCUCCCGACUGACAGGUCCCAAAGAUACUUGAGGUGUUCGUCAAGUUUAUGUUAAAAACUUAAAAAUAUAAAUAACACGAAUAUACAAAAGUAGUUUGGUGCAAAUCAAAAGAUCAUAAAUAAAGUAUCUUCUGCUGUUUGUCCAAAUAAUUCAAAGAAGAUAUAUUUUUUCCUUCUGUGUUGAGAGAACAUUUGACCCCAAAACGUUUAUAGCUUAUCGGAUUUUAACUGCGUCUACAGUUUAUAGAGAGUAGGAGAAGUCACAGUCCUAUUCAUAUGUUAGCCUCAACCGCAUUGUUUCACAGAAUCUCGAGUGGUGUCGCUGACCAAGAAUGCAUCACGCAUACAACGAUCAAUGGACUUGAAAAUCUGGGCAGUGGUGGAUAUCUCGAGUUCAUGAAUUUGUUUUUUUUUGGCUAAAUAGUUUGUUCAUGAAUUCUUCUCAAGCGAGAUAUUAUAUAACUAUUGCCUGAACUGCCAAGCGUUUAAGGAUGAGAAACGAUGAAAAGACUUUGAUCUAUAUCAAACAUACAACUACACGGUUCACAAAAAGAAAAACCCCUCUGUUCAAACUCGCAAAACCCUACAAGUAUAGAACUACAUAGACCCAUACUUACUGACGAACAGAAAGCAAUAACAGAUCCAUAUAAUGUGAUUUCACAUUUCAUCAAACUCACACCAACGUAAAUAAAAAUAGGGUAAAUCUCACGAAAUAUUUACUAGAUCAGGGAACUAAAAUUUACAAUAAAAUGAUGGGCAACCACAACCAAAAAUUAAUACAUAAUAGAAUUUAAAAUAUAAUAAUUUUUAAAAGAAAAAAAUGUAAAUAAAAGAAAUAUUAAAAUUAAAUAUUUAGUUACAAUACAUAAUAUAAGUUGAAUAACAUAAAAAAAAACUUUUUGAAUAAGGUGAAAAAAACUUAGUAACAAAAUAAAAAUUUAGUUUAAAAUACAUCAUACAACUCAAUAAUACAUUUUAUGAAUAAAUAUAAAUUUAAUAAAAGAAAAUGAGAAAGAAAAUAUACUUAUUAUGUUGCUUUUUCAGAUUUCAAAAAUAUAACAAGAUAAAUAAAAAGUGAAUUUAAUGAAACUUUUUUUCUUCAUUUUGGUCAUAGUAUUAAUACAUAGAAAACUUUGAAAUAAUUAAGGAAAACAAUCAAAUAUUAAUAGAUAAUCAAAACACAGAAGAAUAAAAGUUAGGAACUAAUUUACGAUAUUGUGUUUUCAAAUUUCAUCAAAACAAAAUUAACAAAAAUAAAUAAAUUUGAUAGAUUUUUUUUUUUUGCUUUCUGAUCAUUAAACUCAAACCAUCAAAAAUAAACAAGAAAUUGAUAAAAAAUAACUUAACAAAAAAUACAUAAUCAAAAAUAAUAUUUAGAAAACAAUCAAAAACUUAAAGUAAACCUAUAGCAAAUACACAA